GAAAGGCUGCCAACUUGCAUGUGAGAGAACAGCAGCUUAGGGAAGGUAAACAAGUCGCUCAAGUUCACAGUGAUGAGUAGUGGAGCCCAAGCUUCCAGUACCCUUACACUCUCCCAUUUUGUUCUUCUGCCUUUAAUGUAUUGAGCACAACAACUGAACUUUGAACUAGUAUCAAAAGAUGAGUAUGAUGGUUCCAAGAAGAGGAAAGAGAAUGGGCACUUUGCUCUAAGUAGGGGAAUAGCUGUAGUGGAAGGGAUUUUGUUCAAAGGAGAGCAGGGAUAUUAUGCCUUGAGCAUAUAAUGUGAUGAUGCUGCAAAAUGAGACUGCAAGAGAUACUUGAGCCCCCUUUGUUCCAGAUCUUAUUUGCUUAGGAGUUUUGAUUAGAUCCUAAAGGCAUUGGCUAGUCAACGGAGACUUGCAUUUGAUAAUGGGAACUCAGAUGUCAAUGUGGAGGGUGAAUUGAAUGCAUACUAAGCAACAGUUUCUAACAAUCCAGACAAGAGGUGAUGCCAGACUGAACUAAGGCAGGAGCUAUGAAAGUAAUAAAGAUAUGGGCCUUCAAGGGGUGAAAGAAAUUUGCUCUCCUCUCCGAGGCCCAGAGGUGCAAGCACUUCAACAGAUAAUUUGGUAUGUGCAAAAAUGGGAAUGGUCAGCGAAGGAAUACUGUCCUGAGUUUUUCACACAUCAGUAAUGUUUCCUGCUGUGGGAUCUUCUUUACCAAUCCAGAUGGGGAAUCAUCAUUUGUGGACUUCAGAGGAAAAGGGAAUGACACCAGGCAAGGAUCAAACAGAAGCACAGAUGGGGGAUAUCAUCUAACUGGAAUCCUGAACAAAAAGCUCCUGCUUUUUUAUGGACUUGUGGGGCCACAGGAAGUAAGAAGGGCGAAAGGGCUUAACGUGAAAAGAUACUGAGUCAAAGUGGAGAAAACUGCCUUGGUCAAGGUCUUGAUGGCAGUGCUUGAACAGUGUCUCAGCAAAAGUCCCCCAUAAAGAGACCUCCAUAAAGAGGUUCCUAGGCUGGGAAUGCAGAUAUGCGUAUCAGCAUGGCCGGCUCAAAAGGGGCCUGAGUCCUUGACUGCCACUCCCUCCAGAUGCACUGGCUAUGUACCAACUCUGGUGUGAGGAGGGCAGCUUCCACCAUGAGGCCUGCCAGGCAAAGCCUUGUAAUUGCCUGUGCCCAAAACUGACAGAUUACACACAGGAUUAUUGUCCUGGAGCCACACUCCCCAAGGUGAAUCCAGGAGACUCCAGAUCUGGUAGUCAAUUGAGGUGGAUUUAACUGUCCAGCAUGCCAAUCUGACAAAGCCAUAAACUGUGAAUAGAGGGCAUAAAGGAAAUUUUUUGGUAAUGUCAUUCAAUUCCUAAAAGUUGGCAGUCUUGAUUUUACAUAACUGAGAAUCCCAAAACCAAAGAUUAGACCUAGGGCUUAGAGAAAGAAGACUCUGGAAUUUUUCUUCUUGUCCCAACUUCACUGGUUUCCCGUUUAUCUGUAAAAUCCAGCUUUGAGAAGAGGAGGGGAAGGGAAAGGAGUGGUGCUCUGAAAAAAAUUGACCUUCCUCAGUCCUGUGGGCACUCACUGUGUCAGUCUUCAUCACAGAGAAAGUACACGUGAGCACAUAUUGUGUAAUUUCAGAGCAUUGGCAAGAGUCUCCCUAUGUGGCCUGGAUGCAACUUAUAUCUCAGAUGUCUCUUAAAUUUGUUCCCUAAUUUCCAUUCUCACUGCCUUUCACUUUAUUUUAGUUUAUUGUUUAUCGUAAUAGACUUCUGACUACUGUCCCUGCUUUUGGUUUAUUUUUUCCCACUGGAAUAUCUAGUAAGCAAUAAGGGACACAGAACUGAAGCCUCUUUGGAAGUUAUUUCUGUAGAGUUGGUAAUUGAAACCCAUGGGAAUGAAGAAACUCUCCUGGACAGUGAUGAAGGAUUAAAAAACAACCACAAAUCUCUUCCACUAAUGAAUUCGGGAAAGAGCACACACCCAUUUUUUUUCACUUAUUCAAUAAAUAAUUAUUAAUAA